rnacentral:tRNA from 1 species
UGUAUGUGGAGCUCUCAUUGCACUCACUUCCUUGACGGUGUGUCCCACAUCACUGAAUCACAGUUCACUGCAAUAAUCAGCAAUGGCUGUCACGGUGCUGAGUCCUCAGUAAGGUAUUAUUCAGCGCAUUCUGCUUAAGAUGGCAGGAAAGCAUUUAAUAUAAAUAGCAUUUAAUGCAAUUUAUAUUUUUAUAUAAAUGAAUUCAAUUUUUAAAAAAACUGGUGUUUAUUCAAGAGGCACUCACACGGCUAUCUGGAGCACUUUAUUCUCAAAAAACCCCCCAAUUCCCCCAAACAAUCUGGAGAGGCAACAUUUAAUUGUAUCAUGAAUCAAUAAGUAGCAAUACUUCAAGUGACCAACUUUUUUGUUGCUGUUGAGGCAGUGUCUCACUCUGUCACCUAGGCUGGAUUGCAAGUGGCAUGACCACAGCUCGCUGCAGCCUUGACCUCCCAGGCUCAAGCAAUCCUCCCUCCUCAGGCUCCUGAGUAGCUGGGACUACAGGCACGUGCCACCAUGCCCGGCUCAUUUUCUUUUUUUUUAGUUUUUUUUUUUAGAGACAAGAGUCUCCCUGUGUUGCCCAGGCUGGUCUCGAACUCCUGGGCUCAAGCAAUCCUCCCCACUCGGCCUCCCAAAGUGCUGAGAUUACAGGCAUGAGCCACCAUGCCCAGCCAAGUGACCAAAAUAUUAUCAUCUUCCUUCUCCAUUAUCUAGUCUCUUGCAACAAAGAACACCUUCCAGUCGCGUUCCAAUCAUGUUACUGCUUUUCCCCAACUCUUCUAUCGGUGCAUGGGUGGUUCAGUGGUAGAAUUCUCGCCUGCCACGCGGGAGGCCCGGGUUCGAUUCCCGGCCCAUGCAGCACGAAAAUGUGUUUUGGACCGUGCGCGGGAGGUUGCGGUAAGCCGAGACUGCACCGUUGUAUUCCAGCCACAGCAACAGUGAGAGAAACUUCGUCUCAAAAACAAACAAAAAAACUUUCGAGGGGUCCCAAAUGCUUCUUAAAUUGAAUGAUUUGUAGAACAGGCUUUGUGACCCAGUGACUAACUGACCAUCCUUUAUCACAAAAGACACUAGUUUUCCUCCCAUAUAGCAUUUCCUCCACAGUCAGGAGAGAGACUUUCCCCCAAACAUGUCUCAGCUCAGCCAUCUGGAGUUUGCGCAUGUGUUUGCCAUGUUAAUCCCUCCUUCGUAAGCGCUCUCUCUGGGGUUAUGAAUCUUCUCAAACGGUAUGAGUUUGACAGCUAAAAUGGACUGAUUUAAAUCACUGUUCGCACACUGAAAAUACAGUGGAAUCAAGGUUCAGAGAAGAUGGCCUGAGGACCUUGCUUUACUAGGAAGCAAGUUCUGGAACGGACACUUGCUUUUGGAGCACCCUUUCCUAUCUUCUAUUUAAUUACUUAAUCCUUUAUUAUAUUCUCCCUGUCCCCUAUUGCCCCCACCCCUGCACUUUUUAACCUCUUCCUGUAAGACACUAAACAUAUAAAAGAAUAUAGGGGAAAACAGUAAAAAUAACAGCUAACAAUUGAUAAGAGUGUUUCAGAUAGAUCCGGGCUCUUCACUUACUUUAUCCCUAGUCUUCACAACGGUUCAUAUAAGGAAGAGGUGGACGCAAUUUUUU